rnacentral:rRNA from 1 species
UGAUCCUUGCUCAGGAUGAACGCUGGCGGCGUGCUUAACACAUGCAAGUCGAGCGAAGCAUUUUCGAAGAAGUUUUCGGACAGAUUUGGGAAUGACUGAGCGGCGGACGGGUGAGUAACGCGUGGGUAACCUGCCUCAUACAGGGGGAUAACAGUUAGAAAUGACUGCUAAUACCGCAUAAGCGCACAGUACCGCAUGGUAUGGUGUGAAAAACUCCGGUGGUAUGAGAUGGACCCGCGUCUGAUUAGCUGGUUGGCGGGGUAACGGCCCACCAAGGCGACGAUCAGUAGCCGACCUGAGAGGGUGACCGGCCACAUUGGGACUGAGACACGGCCCAAACUCCUACGGGAGGCAGCAGUGGGGAAUAUUGCACAAUGGGGGAAACCCUGAUGCAGCAACGCCGCGUGAGUGAAGAAGUAUUUCGGUAUGUAAAGCUCUAUCAGCAGGGAAGAAGGAAGACGGUACCUGACUAAGAAGCCCCGGCUAACUACGUGCCAGCAGCCGCGGUAAUACGUAGGGGGCAAGCGUUAUCCGGAUUUACUGGGUGUAAAGGGAGCGUAGACGGCAUGGCAAGUCUGGAGUGAAAGUCCGGGGCUCAACCCCGGGACUGCUUUGGAAACUGUCAGGCUGGAGUGCUGGAGAGGUAAGCGGAAUUCCUAGUGUAGCGGUGAAAUGCGUAGAUAUUAGGAGGAACACCAGUGGCGAAGGCGGCUUACUGGACAGUAACUGACGUUGAGGCUCGAAAGCGUGGGGAGCAAACAGGAUUAGAUACCCUGGUAGUCCACGCGGUAAACGAUGAAUACUAGGUGUUGGGGGACAAAGUCCUUCGGUGCCGUCGCAAACGCAAUAAGUAUUCCACCUGGGGAGUACGUUCGCAAGAAUGAAACUCAAAGGAAUUGACGGGGACCCGCACAAGCGGUGGAGCAUGUGGUUUAAUUCGAAGCAACGCGAAGAACCUUACCAAGUCUUGACAUCCCGAUGAAAGAUCCGUAAUGGGAUCCCCUCUUCGGAGCAUUGGAGACAGGUGGUGCAUGGUUGUCGUCAGCUCGUGUCGUGAGAUGUUGGGUUAAGUCCCGCAACGAGCGCAACCCUUAUCCUUAGUAGCCAGCAGUAAGAUGGGCACUCUAGGGAGACUGCCAGGGACAACCUGGAGGAAGGUGGGGAUGACGUCAAAUCAUCAUGCCCCUUAUGAUUUGGGCUACACACGUGCUACAAUGGCGUAAACAAAGGGAGGCGAAGCCGCGAGGUGGAGCGAAUCCCAAAAAUAACGUCUCAGUUCGGAUUGCAGGCUGCAACCCGCCUGCAUGAAGCUGGAAUAGCUAGUAAUCGCGAAUCAGAAUGUCGCGGUGAA